UCAGAUGCUUGCGCUUGGUCUAUUUAUGACAUUGCAGAUGCUGACAUUAAGAGCAAAGGGUGUUAUGCCUUUGUCUACUUUCCUCCCACACAUUCCCCUCCUCCCACUCCAGUUUUCAAGGGGAACGUACAAGAAGAAAAGAAAACUGAAGAUUGUGCACCAGUUAAAAGAUACCUGUCAAUUUUUUACCAGAAGUAGCUAAGGUAACAGAGAGUCUUACAAGUGCACUUGCCUUGUUGUCGUCCCCAAUCUUAUGC
rnacentral:lncRNA from 1 species